GACGAACGCUGGCGGCGUGCUUAACACAUGCAAGUCGAACGGAAAGGCCCUGCUUUUGUGGGGUGCUCGAGUGGCGAACGGGUGAGUAACACGUGAGUAACCUGCCCUUGACUUUGGGAUAACUUCAGGAAACUGGGGCUAAUACCGGAUAGGAGCUCCUGCUGCAUGGUGGGGGUUGGAAAGUUUCGGCGGUUGGGGAUGGGCUCGCGGCUUAUCAGCUUGUUGGUGGGGUAGUGGCUUACCAAGGCUUUGACGGGUAGCCGGCCUGAGAGGGUGACCGGCCACAGGGGGACGGAGAUACGGCCCAGACUCCUACGGGAGGCAACAGUGGGGAAGAUGGCACAAGGGGCGGAAGCCUGAUGCAGCAACGCCGCGUGCGGGAUGACGGCCUUCGGGUUGUAAACCGCUUUCGCCUGUGACGAAGCGUGAGUGACGGUAAUGGGUAAAGAAGCACCGGCUAACUACGU
rnacentral:rRNA from 1 species